rnacentral:rRNA from 1 species
UACGAAGGGGGCUAGCGUUGCUCGGAAUUACUGGGCGUAAAGGGUGCGCAGGCGGCGUCGCAAGUCAGGCGUGAAAUCCCCGGGCUUAACCUGGGAACUGCACUUGAAACUACGAUGCUGGAGUAUGGCAGAGGGAGGUGGAAUUCCACGUGUAGCGGUGAAAUGCGUAGAGAUGUGGAGGAACACCGAUGGCGAAGGCAGCCUCCUGGGCCAAUACUGACGCUCAUGCACGAAAGCGUGGGGAGCAAACAGG